rnacentral:sRNA from 1 species
GGGUGGGAGAGCAACCUGGAUGGGGCUUCUAUCACCGCAUGGGCCACUAGGGUUGGUUCAUUUGAUCUGGCUGGGUUAUGGGUCCCCUUCUUUGCUUUAUGUUCCAUGAAGUUGCACACUUGCUCAAGGAGAAAUAGCAGAGAGAGAAAGGUCUUCAUAAGGGCAAGGAAAUACAAAUCUUACAUGCCUUCCCAGAGUCCCGAGACAAGCUCAGAUCCAUCUGUGGUUUAGACGAGUUAGCGCAAACAACUUACAAACUCUCCUGGAGAUCUCAUGGA